rnacentral:rRNA from 1 species
GUGCCAGCCGCCGCGGUAAUACGUAGGUGGCAAGCGUUGUCCGGAUUUACUGGGCGUAAAGGGCGUGCAGGCGGUUUGUUUAGUCUAGGGUGAAAGCUCCCGGCUUAACUGGGAGAGGUCCUUGGAUACUGGCAAACUUGAGGGAGGCAGAGGAAAGUGGAAUUCCCGGUGUAGUGGUGAUAUGCGUAGAUAUCGGGAGGAACACCAGUGGCGAAGGCGGCUUUCUGGGCCUUACCUGACGCUGAGACGCGAAAGCGUGGGGAGCGAACCGGAUUAGAUACCCGCGUAGUCC